AAAUAAAUCCCUAGGCCAAGCUAGGAAAUUUAUUUAACCUGGCCCAGAGUAUUGGUUCCUUAAGCUCUUUUUCGGCCCAGUUCCCUUCUUUUUUUUUUACAACUUUUGGCCCAAUUGUAAUUUAAAUUGCAGAGGCAUAAAUACUAAUUUUUUCUUUAUCUCCUUGACCCAAUAGCAAAUACAAUCAGCACAAUCGAUGCUUCUCUCUCAAAUGUCUGCAAUUUGCAUCAAGGAGGAAAACCCCCAAAUCGGUCCCUCUCUCUAAUCUCAUCCCUCACUUUUAUUCUUCCCGAAAUUUAUCAAUAUCCCUUCCUACAUCAGAGGCGGCGCCUCCAUUCGCUUCGCGUCGGCAGGAAUCUCACUGAUGCUGCUCACAUCGUCGAGGUCGGACAAUACUGCCGCUGUCCGUCACUCCUCAACGCCGACGUGCGCCACCUCGCAGCCCGGCCCUCUGUCGCCACUGAUUCGUCGCUGCCCCGUGGUGAUCUUUGGCUCCGUCGUUACUCGGCUUCCGCCGGACAGCCUUACGCUCUAUGCUACGUCCCUUAUCUCUUUCUUAUUCUUUUAAAGCUUGGUCUGUUAGACCUUGUGUUCUUGGGCAGUAGCUAUGUUUGGAGCCUUUUGAUUGUGGUGAUUUAAGGUUGUGAUCUAGGUGAGAAAUUCCCUAUGGGCUACACUAUUCUUUUUUUUUUACUGACUGUUAUGGUUUGGUUAGGCAUUGGCUCACAAAGAUCAUAUCUUUGGCUAUUGAUGUUAUUCUAUGACUUUAUGAGUGGUCAUGCUUCUAUGAUUCUAAGUUCUUGACUAUUUAUAGUGCAUUCUCUAAAUGAUGCAAGAGUGUGUUGUGGGGUUACCUACUGAGAAUGAGGCUGUGAAGGGUUGAGGGAUCUCUGGCCGAGCUUAACACGAGUUUUCCUGGUUUGCUAUGCUGCUGAAACUUCGUUGAUAUGUGCACAAUGAAGGUGCAGAGGCUGUUGACUGAGGUCUGCAAGAUGGUUAACUGAAACUCUGCAGCUGAAGCUCUGCAAAGCUGCUGCAGUUGUGCCCUUUUCUUGCCUUGUAGCGGCUGGACAUGGGCUGGAGAUGUGCAGGAGUUGCACUAUUGCAGGCUGUCCCAAAUGGUGAGCCUUUCGUACUUCUCCCGGAGUGGUCCCGCUGUUCUAGGCCUAUAGGCUGAUCGGGAGCCGUGGUGGGUGCGGUUUGAGAUCGGGAGACGAAGGCCCAAAAUUAGCAUUUCCAAAAAUGUAAUAGAAUAGUGUCUUUCCCCUUUUUUUCUCAUGUGCUUACUGUUUCCUUUGUUCUCUUUGAACAUUUGUAAUCUUAGACUUUGCUUGAAAUAAUAAAAUGUUGUGUUACUCAAGAAA